GUUGGGUUAAGUCCCGCAACGAGCGCAACCCUCGUCCUUAGUUGCCAACAGGUAAUGCUGGGAACUCUAAGGAAACUGCCGGUGAUAAGCCGGAGGAAGGUGGGGAUGACGUCAAGUCUUCAUGGCCCUUACGGCCUGGGCUACACACGUGCUACAAUGGCGGUGACAAUGGGAUGCGACCCUGCGAGGGGAAGCUAAUCUCCAAAAACCGUCUCAGUUCGGAUUGCACUCUGCAACUCGAGUGCAUGAAGCUGGAAUCGCUAGUAAUCGUGGAUCAGCAUGCCACGGUGAAUAC
rnacentral:rRNA from 1 species